GACGAACGCUGGCGGCGUGUUUAAUACAUGCAAGUCAACGAUUUUUAAGAUAGCAAUAUUUUAAAAAAUAGUGGCGCACGGGUGAGUAACACGUAGAUAAUCUGCCUUUAGGUCUGACAUAACUCGUCGAAAGACGGGGCUAAUAUCAGAUAAAACAAUAACUUGGCAUCAAGUAAUUGUCAAAAGCUUCGGCGCCCAAAAGAUGAGUCUGCGGACCAUUAGGUAGUUGGUGGAUUAACAGCCCACCAAGCCAACGAUGGAUAGCUGGUCUGAGAGGAUGAUCAGCCACUACUGGGAACUGAGACACGGUCCAGACUCCUACGGGAGGCAGCAGUAAGGAAU
rnacentral:rRNA from 1 species